rnacentral:rRNA from 1 species
CCUACGGGUGGCAGCAGUGAGGAAUAUUGGUCAAUGGGCGGAAGCCUGAACCAGCCAAGUAGCGUGCGGGAUGAAGGCCCUACGGGUCGUAAACCGCUUUUGCACGGGGAUAACACCCUCCACUUGUGGAGGUCUGCAGGUACCGUGCGAAUAAGGGCCGGCUAAUUCCGUGCCAGCAGCCGCGGUAAUACGGAAGGCCCGAGCGUUAUCCGGAUUUAUUGGGUUUAAAGGGUGCGUAGGCGGACUGUUAAGUCAGCGGUAAAAGCCCGGGGCUCAACCCCGGCGAGCCGUUGAAACUGGCUGUCUUGAGAUGUCGAGAGGUAUGCGGAAUGCGCAGUGUAGCGGUGAAAUGCUUGGAUAUUGCGCAGAACUCCGAUUGCGAAGGCAGCAUACCGGCGGCGAUCUGACGCUGAGGCACGAAAGCGUGGGUAUCGAACAGGAUUAGAUACCCUUGUAGUC